rnacentral:lncRNA from 1 species
AAAAGAGUAUAAGAAAGUUAUUAUGGUGGCUUGUAGGAUUUAUAGGUGGCGGCUAGGUUAAGAAAGAAUCUAGGAUUUAGUUGGAUGAAGUAGAAAUGGAUGUAAUAUUGAUGGAAGUUGCCUCGUUUGUUGGCAACCACCACCUAUAAGUAAUAAGAGUUGGAAGUAAGAGUUAUCUUACUCCAUACUACAUUUUGUAAGCAACCU